rnacentral:rRNA from 1 species
UUGAACGCUGGCGGCAUGCUUUACACAUGCAAGUCGAACGGCAGCGGGGGCUUCGGCCCGCCGGCGAGUGGCGAACGGGUGAGUAAUGUAUCGGAACGUACCCUGUCGUGGGGGAUAACACAGCGAAAGCUGUGCUAAUACCGCAUACGACCUGAGGGUGAAAGCGGGGGAUCGCAAGACCUCGCGCGAUAGGAGCGGCCGAUAUCGGAUUAGCUUGUUGGUGAGGUAAAGGCUCACCAAGGCGACGAUCCGUAGCUGGUCUGAGAGGACGACCAGCCACACUGGAACUGAGACACGGUCCAGACUCCUACGGGAGGCAGCAGUGGGGAAUUUUGGACAAUGGGCGAAAGCCUGAUCCAGCCAUGCCGCGUGCAGGAUGAAGGCCUUCGGGUUGUAAACUGCUUUUGUACGGAACGAAAAAGUCUUCUCUAAUACAGGGGGCGAAUGACGGUACCGUAAGAAUAAGCACCGGCUAACUACGU